CUAACGCAUUAAGUAUUCCGCCUGGGGAGUACGGUCGCAAGAUUAAAACUCAAAGGAAUUGACGGGGACCCGCACAAGUAGCGGAGCAUGUGGUUUAAUUCGAAGCAACGCGAAGAACCUUACCUACACUUGACAUCCCUUGCAUUACUCUUAAUCGAGGAAAUCCCUUCGGGGACAAGGUGACAGGUGGUGCAUGGUUGUCGUCAGCUCGUGUCGUGAGAUGUUGGGUUAAGUCCCGCAACGAGCGCAACCCUUGUCGUUAGUUACUACCAUUAAGUUGAGGACUCUAGCGAGACUGCCUGGGUUAACCAGGAGGAAGGUGGGGAUGACGUCAAAUCAUCAUGCCCCUUAUGUGUAGGGCUACACACGUGCUACAAUGGCUG
rnacentral:rRNA from 1 species